UUUUUUCCUGUAGCAAUACAGGGAAAAGUCUAGCGGCGAACGGGUGCUUAACACGUGGGCAACCUGCCAAGAAGUGGGGGAUAGCUCGCCGAAAGGCGAAUUAAUACCGCAUGUGAUCAGAGUGGACAUCCAUUCAAAAUCAAAGUCGGGGCAACCUGACGCUUCUUGAGGGGCCCGCGGCCUAUCAGCUAGUUGGUGGGGUAACGGCCCACCAAGGCUUAGACGGGUAGCUGGUCUGAGAGGACGACCAGCCACACUGGGACUGAGACACGGCCCAGACACCUACGGGUGGCAGCAGUCGAGAAUUUUUCUCAAUGGGGGAAACCCUGAAGGAGCGACGCCGCGUGGAGGAUGAAGGUCUUCGGAUUGUAAACUCCUGUCAUUGGGGAACAAUGCGCAAAUAUUAACUGUAUUUGCGUUGAUAGUACCCGAAGAGGAAGAGACGGCUAACUCUGUGCCAGCAGCCGCGGUAAUACAGAGGUCUCAAGCGUUGUUCGGAUUCAUUGGGCGUAAAGGGUGCGUAGGCGGCGCGGUAAGUCGGGUGUGAAAUCUCGGAGCUUAACUCCGAAACUGCAUUCGAUACUGCCGUGCUUGAGGACUGGAGAGGAGACUGGAAUUUACGGUGUAGCGGUGAAAUGCGUAGAUAUCGUAAGGAAGACCAGUGGCGAAGGCGGGUCUCUGGACAGUUCCUGACGCUGAUGCACGAAGGCCAGGGGAGCAAACGGGAUUAGAUACCCCGGUAGUCCUGGCAGUAAACGGUGCACGUUUGGUGUGGGAGGAUUCGACCCCUUCUGCGCCGGAGCUAACGCGUUAAACGUG
rnacentral:rRNA from 1 species